AGUGAACGCUGGCGGCGUGCUUAACACAUGCAAGUCGAACGAGAACGGAAUAUAGCUUGCUAUAUUUGUCAGCUAAGUGGCGCACGGGUGAGUAAUGUAUAGAUAACCUGCCCUUAAGAAAGGAAUAACAGUUGGAAACGACUGCUAAUGCCCUAUAUGCCUUUAAUACAUAAGUAUGCAAGGGAAACGCUUUAGUGCUUAAGGAUGGGUCUGUAUGAUAUCAGCUUGUUGGUGAGGUAAUGGCUCACCAAGGCUAUGACGCCUAACUGGUUUGAGAGGAUGAUCGGUCACACUGGAACUGAGACACGGUCCAGACUCCUACGGGAGGCAGCAGUGGGGAAUAUUGCACAAUGGACGAAAGUCUGAUGCAGCAACGCCGCGUGGAGGAUGACACAUUUCGGUGCGCAAACUCCUUUUAUAUAGGAAGAUAAUGACGGUACUAUAUGAAUAAGCACCGGCUAACUCCGUGCCAGCAGCCGCCGUAACAC
rnacentral:rRNA from 1 species